rnacentral:rRNA from 1 species
GACGAACGCUGGCGGCGUGCCUAAUACAUGCAAGUAGAACGCAGUUGCGAACGGGUGAGUAACGCGUAGGUAACUGCCUGGUAGCGGGGGAUAACUAUUGGAAACGAUAGCUAAUACCGCAUACUACCAGAUGGAACUGCGUUGUAUUAGCGAGUUGGUGAGGUAACGGCUCACCAAGGCAACGAUACAUAGCCGACCUGGGAGGUUGAUCGGCCCACCUGUGACUUGGACACGGCCCAGACUCCUACGGGAGGCAGCAGUUGGGGAUCUUCGGACAUGGGGGGAAACCUGACCGAGCAACGCCGCGGGAGUUAAGAAGGUUUUCGGAUUGUAAAGCUUUGUUGUUAAGGAAGCGGUACUUACCCAGAAAGGGACGGCUAACUACGUGCCAGCAGCCGCGGUAAUAC